AGAGUUUGAUCAUGGCUCAGAAUCAACGCUGGCGGCGUGCCUCAGACAUGCAAGUCGAACGCGAAAGUCCCCUUCGGGGGACAAGUAGAGUGGCGCACGGGUGAGUAACACGUAGGUAAUCUACCUUCGGGUGGGGAAUAACAACCGGGAACGGUUGCUAAUACCGCAUAAUGCAGCGGCACCUAAUGGUGACAGUUGUUAAAGCGGGGGAUCGAAAGAUCUCGCGCCUGAAGAGGAGCCUGCGGCGGAUUAGCUAGUUGGUAGGGUAACGGCCUACCAAGGCGACGAUCCGUAGCCGGCCUGAGAGGGCGGUCGGCCACACUGACACUGACAUACGGGUCAGACUCCUACGGGAGGCAGCAGUCGGGAAUUUUGGGCAAUGGGCGAAAGCCUGACCCAGCAACGCCGCGUGAAGGAUGAAAUCCCUCGGGAUGUAAACUUCGCAAGAACGGGAAGAAUAAGUCUAUGUUAAUACCAUAGGCGAUGACGGUACCGUUUGUAAGCUCCGGCUAACUCCGUGCCAGCCGCGGCGGUAAUUC
rnacentral:rRNA from 1 species